CCUACGGGGGGCAGCAGUGGGGAAUAUUGGACAAUGGGGGGAACCCUGAUCCAGCAAUGCCGCGUGUGUGAAGAAGGCCUUCGGGUUGUAAAGCACUUUCAGCAGGGAGGAAAGGUACGUAGUUAAUAGCUGCGCAAUUGACGUUACCUGCAGAAGAAGCACCGGCUAACUCCGUGCCAGCAGCCGCGGUAAUACGGAGGGUGCGAGCGUUAUUCGGAAUUACUGGGCGUAAAGCGCACGCAGGCGGUUGCCCAAGUCAGAUGUGAAAGCCCCGGGCUUAACCUGGGAACUGCAUUUGAAACUGGGCGACUAGAGUAUGAAAGAGGAAAGCGGAAUUUCCAGUGUAGCAGUGAAAUGCGUAGAUAUUGGAAGGAACACCGAUGGCGAAGGCAGCUUUCUGGGUCGAUACUGACGCUCAUGUGCGAAAGCGUGGGGAGCAAACAGGAUUAGAUACCCGGGUAGUC
rnacentral:rRNA from 1 species